AGCAGUGUGGCCUAGUGGAAAGAAUCUGGACCUGGGAGUCAGAAGACCUGGGUUCUAACCCCAGCUUUGCCA
rnacentral:tRNA from 1 species